rnacentral:tRNA from 1 species
CCUCUCGUAGUUCAAAGGAUAGAAUGCACGCUUGCGGUGCGUGUGAUCUGGGUUCGAUUCCCGGCGAGAGGA